CUUUUCUCCUCUUCUCCAAUCUCUUUUUUAUCUUUGACCUUCUAAUUCUUCUUCAUUCUUCUCCUUCUUCUCCUUGUCUUCGUUCUUCUUCUCCACCUAUUUGUUUCGUAAGUGUCUUCUAUCAAUCCUUCUUCUUCUCCUUGUCUUCGUUCUUCUUCUCCGCCUUUUUGUUUUCGUAGGUGUUUUCUAUCAAGCCGCCGCGACAUCACAGAUCCAUCUUCUCUGUUUUCGAUCUUUUUCUUCUUCACCUCACCGUUUUUUUCUUCAAUUCACUCUUUCAAAAGUGUUAAGACUCAAUCAUUGUGUGUGUUUUCAGGUGGCCAUGGACAAAGAAGUUAUUACAAAGAUUGAAAGUGAUGACACUUCAUCAGUGGAGAUCAAAGUGUUGCUAUUCGCCAGAGCUCGAGAGCUCGCAGGCGUGCCUGAUCUAACAUUGAAGAUGCCAUCAGGUAGUACAACACAGAAAUGUAUGGAUGAGUUGGUGCUUAAGUUUCCAAGCUUGGAAGAGGUACGUUGCUGUGUCGUUCUUGCUUUGAAUGAGGAAUAUACAACCGACUCCGCCAUUGUUCAACACAGAGAUGAGUUAGCCAUCAUACCUCCAAUAAGCGGCGGCUAAUUCAUCGGCACUGCUUAAAUCCAACUCGGGUUUGUAUUUUCAUUGGCGAUAAUCCAAAAUGUAACAGUUUAAGGUACUUUUGUCACAAACAACACAGAUAUAUCUGUCUUUUAUAA